ACGGGAGGCAGCAGUGGGGAAUAUUGCACAAUGGGCGAAAGCCUGAUGCAGCGACGCCGCGUGAGCGAAGAAGUAUUUCGGUAUGUAAAGCUCUAUCAGCAGGGAAGAUAAUGACGGUACCUGACUAAGAAGCACCGGCUAAAUACGUGCCAGCAGCCGCGGUAAUACGUAUGGUGCAAGCGUUAUCCGGAUUUACUGGGUGUAAAGGGAGCGUAGGCGGUUUUACAAGUCUGAUGUGAAAGCCCGGGGCUCAACUCCGGUAUUGCAUUGGAAACUGUAGAACUAGAGUGUCGGAGGGGUAAGUGGAAUUCCUAGUGUAGCGGUGAAAUGCGUAGAUAUUAGGAGGAACACCAGUGGCGAAGGCGGCUUACUGGACGAUUACUGACGCUGAGGCUCGAAAGCGUGGGGAGCAAACAGGAUUAGAUACCCUGGUA
rnacentral:rRNA from 1 species